rnacentral:rRNA from 1 species
GACGGAGGGGCAAGCGUUGUUCGGAAUUAUUGGGCGUAAAGAGCUCGUAGGCGGUCUGUCGCGUCGGCUGUGAAAUCCGGAGCUCAACUCCGGGUCUGCAGUCGAUACGGGCAAACUGGAGUACUGCAGGGGAGACGUGGAAUUCCGUGGUGUAGCGGUGAAAUGCGCAGAUAUCUGGAGGAACACCGGUGGCGAAGGCGGCAUCCUGGACCGGCACGUGACGCUGA